rnacentral:rRNA from 1 species
GACGAACGCUGGCGGCGUGCCUAAUACAUGCAAGUUGAGCGCUGAAGGUUGGUACUUGUACCAACUGGAUGAGCAGCGCACGGGUGAGUAACGCGUGGGGAAUCUGCCUUUGAGCGGGGGACAACAUUUGGAAACGAAUGCUAAUACCGCAUAAAAACUUUAAACACAAGUUUUAAGUUUGAAAGAUGCAAUUGCAUCACUCAAAGAUGAUCCCGCGUUGUAUUAGCUAGUUGGUGAGGUAAAGGCUCACCAAGGCGAUGAUACAUAGCCGACCUGAGAGGGUGGUCGGCCACCUUGGGACUGAGACACGGCCCAAACUCCUACGGGAGGCAGCAGUAGGGAAUCUUCGGCAAUGGACGAAAGUCUGACCGAGCAACGCCGCGUGAGUGAAGAAGGUUUUCGGAUCGUAAAACUCUGUUGGUAGAGAAGAACGUUGGUGAGAGUGGAAAGCUCAUCAAGUGACGGUAACUACCCAGAAAGGGACGGCUAACUACGUG